rnacentral:rRNA from 1 species
AACGAACGCUGGCGGCAUGCCUAACACAUGCAAGUCGAACGAGACCUUCGGGUCUAGUGGCGCACGGGUGCGUAACGCGUGGGAACCUGCCCUUAGGUUCGGAAUAACUCCCCGAAAGGGGUGCUAAUACCGGAUAAUGUCUUCGGACCAAAGAUUUAUCGCAUUUGGAUGGGCCCGCGUUGGAUUAGCUAGUUGGUAGGGUAAAAGCCUACCAAGGCGACGAUCCAUAGCUGGUCUGAGAGGAUGAUCAGCCACACUGGGACUGAGACACGGCCCAGACUCCUACGGGAGGCAGAAGUGGGGAAUAUUGGACAAUGGGCGAAAGCCUGAUCCAGCAAUGCCGCGUGAGUGAUGAAGGCCUUAGAGUUGUAAAGCUCUUUUACCCGGGAUGAUAAUGACAGUACCGGGAGAAUAAGCGCCGGCUAACUCCGUG